rnacentral:lncRNA from 1 species
CCAUUUUAAUGAAGAAAUUCGAAGUGGAAGAACUAUAAAACAGGGAGGAGAAGAAAAUUCAUAGAAAAAGAUUCCUAGCUCGGAUUUUGACGUUCUAUAGCUUGUUUCGAAGAGCUUGACAAGGGCUGCGAUUUGAGUGGUAAGGUUCUUGAUUUCCUCUGCAAUAACAUGUUCAUAAAUGGCUUCGAUUAUAGCUUGUUUAUACUUACAUAAUUCUAUAAGUAUUAAGUUAGCUACAUGAUGGGUUUGUUGUGGAAGCUUGUAAGAUGAAAGUUCUUGACUUGUGUAUGGAACAACAAGGCUGGGUAUAUAGAGUAUGAUGAUAUUAAGUUGAUAUAAUUGCUUGGGUAAGCCUAUAACAUGAGUUUAACCACGGAAACGUUAAGAUUAUAGCCGUUAUGCUGGCCGAUUUACAAGAGACAGCUACUGUUACUGUUCACCUGUGAGUCUUCACUUCGAAUUUAUGAAGUUACUUUAUAUGGUUGGAUAGAUCUUGAUUAGUAGAUCGCGUGAGCGCUUGAAUCAUGCAAAACGGAUUUACGGUUUAGAAAUUAUGGCCAUUUUAGUACAGGACGCGCAGAAUCUUAGUUUCCGUAAGAAAAUGAACUUUGAGGUUACAAUUCGGUUAGUUCAAAGAUGAUAUAAAUCAUGGAAUAAUUUGAGUAAAUACUAGGGACAAAUUGGGAGGUAUAUGAGUUGGUUUCGUGAUAAAAACUCGAAUGGUUUAUAAGUGAAAAAUGUCGGAACCUAAAGAUGUAAAUAGUAACAAUACGUGAGACGAGAAACAGUUAGUACCAGAUCUCUUUAAAAUGAAAGGAUUAACAAUAAGAGUAAUUAGAAGGGACUUUAAGGGUAGGUAACACAUACACAAACUAUGAUAUAGAGUUAUAAAGGAUCUUAAUGAUUAAUUAUGUCCUUUAUAGGUGCACAGAAAGGUGCAGAAGGACCUUAAGGACAGGAAGUUGUGAUUGAGUUGCUGAAGUAAGGUGAGUAUACAUCAACACUACUUAUAUCUAUGUGAUAUGUGAAUUACGUGCUUUUAUAUGCUGAAAGUGAUAUAUUAGAAUAUUGAUUUGACUAUGUGAUUCUAUACAUGACUGAAGUUCUUUGAUGUCAACGUAGUGUGAUGAUAUAUCAAAGUACAUGUAUAUAUGGAAUGUGUAUUGACCUGUGAUUUCACGAACGAUACAUUAACAUAGAGUCUGCAUAUAGAACAGGUCAUAUGCACACCCUACAUUCAUUUGAUAGUGAUAAAUUAAAAAGUCAAAGUGACAGUCACUUGUGUAAUGGCCACCUUUAUAUAUGGAACCUACGGGUAAUUACGGAGCAGACUAUAUGUCAGCCAUAGACGGGGCCGACUUGUGUCGGACAUAGACGGAGCCGAUUUCCAUAGUCGGACAUAGACGGAGCUGGCCAGACACACAUGGAUCCUUUGAGGACAUGUGGAAACACGGGCAUUAUACAGUGAACUGUGCACAAUAGCCAAAGAAAGAGAAACAGAGAUGCAUGCAUGCAUAGAUACAAGUUCUUACUUUCAUGGCAUAUAUGAUUAACAUAUGUCAGUGCUUUAUGAAUAAGUAAAACAUAUAUGUGAUGAUGUUAUACCUUGGUGUAAUUUGGAUGAUGAUAAUAUUAUGAAUGAAAGAUAUUAAUUGCUCUCAUAAAUACGAACAGGAAAUAUAUAUUAAAAUGAAUAUUUUCUUACAAUUGUUUCGAGAACCUUACUUUCUUUUAUUUUCUGGAAGAUUUUACAAAGACGCUACAAGUUAUUUUCGGACAAUCUCAGUAUCUUUUACAAACUAAAGUUGAUGUAUAUUCAUUGAGUUGCGACUCAUGGAAAUCGCUCAAUUUUUCCAGGAUAUGAAUAGUUAGUAGUGUGUUUUAUAUGAGUGCUCAGUGGAGAUUGUAGAUAGUGCCUAAGAGACGGUGGUCCAGCAGGAUGCUCCAGACUCCUCCAUCAGCCGAUGCACAUAUAUGUAGUUUGAGAGAUUGUGUUUAUGUACUCUAGACUUAUCAAGUGUGCAAGAAAUCACGAAGAUAAAUUUAUGUUUAAAUUCUGAAUAUGUGUGGUGAAUAUGGAUGAUGGAAAUGUAUUGAAAUUUUAUGUUGCUUGGUAAAUGUUGUUGAAGUAGUUGAGAUUUUAUGUUCUGGUGAAGAUCAAGAUAUAGCCAAGCAAUAGUUGAUGGUUAUAUUAUCCACUUAUACAGGAAAAGAUAUUUCAUAAUAUUAUUAAAUUACAUGAUUUUGCUAGAAGUGCAUGAAAAUGAUUAUAUGGUACAAUGGUGUUACAUAAAAUGCCAAAGGGG